rnacentral:sRNA from 1 species
GGUGUUGAAGUAAGGCGUUGUGCUGGGAUGCAGUUCCUUACGGAGCCUUCUGGAGGGGUUGUGCAACGGUACCUCGACCCAGCUAGGUCGCAAGACUGAAAGAAAAUGCUCA